rnacentral:tRNA from 1 species
GCUGGGGUGGCUCAGUCGGUUAAGCGUCUGACUUCUGCUCAGGUCAUGAUCUGGUGGUUCAAGCCCUGCUUCCGGUU